CCUACGGGAGGCAGCAGUGGGGAAUAUUGGACAAUGGGCGAAAGCCUGAUCCAGCAAUGCCGCGUGAGUGAUGAAGGCCUUAGGGUUGUAAAGCUCUUUUACCAGGGAUGAUAAUGACAGUACCUGGAGAAUAAGCUCCGGCUAACUCCGUGCCAGCAGCCGCGGUAAUACGGAGGGAGCUAGCGUUGUUCGGAAUUACUGGGCGUAAAGCGUACGUAGGCGGUUAUUCAAGUCAGAGGUGAAAGCCUGGAGCUCAACUCCAGAACUGCCUUUGAAACUAGAUAGCUAGAAUCUUGGAGAGGUGAGUGGAAUUCCGAGUGUAGAGGUGAAAUUCGUAGAUAUUCGGAAGAACACCAGUGGCGAAGGCGACUCACUGGACAAGUAUUGACGCUGAGGUACGAAAGCGUGGGGAGCAAACAGGAUUAGAUACCCUGGUAGUCCACGCCGUAAACGAUGAUAACUAGCUGUUCGGGCUCUACGAGCUUGAGUGGCGCAGCUAACGCAUUAAGUUAUCCGCCUGGGGAGUACGGUCGCAAGAUUAAAACUCAAAGAGUAGUAGCGUGAGAGUGCGACGAGACACAGGGAGAGG
rnacentral:rRNA from 1 species